rnacentral:lncRNA from 1 species
AGGGGAUUUUAAGAGGGACUCACGGAAGUGUGCCUCGGCUGCAUUUUUUUAAAAUGUAAACAUCCAUCGUAUUUUUGGAUCACAUCUGGUGGUGUGUGGUGUGUCACGUGGUCGUGUAGCUGGGGCAGCAGACACCAGGAGGCAAAGAGAGCAGCCACACAGGAAGCCUACUGUGUGCAGCGUGACGCUCAGCCACAGCCACACACCAGCACCACUGAAGCUGGGAAACACUGGUGUCUUCAUGUUGCCUCUCAACACUGGCUGUUGGUGGCCAGGAACCAGGCACUGUGCAUCCUGCUGCUGACCUCCUGGGUGACGCAUGCUGCAGCCCUGCCCAGCUUUGCAACACGGGGACACUUGGGUUACUUCCACGCCAUUGACGUGAUACACUGUGCAGGGAGGGCUCUCUCUGCUUGCCGCCUUGCCUCUCACCUGCCCCUAGAGGUCGUCAGCCUCUGGAGUCAGGGGAAGAGAGAAGUAAAUGCUGAUCAUUUAAACCGA